rnacentral:rRNA from 1 species
GGUGUGACUGCGUACCUUUUGUAUAAUGGGUCAGCGACUUAUAUUCUGUAGCAAGGUUAACCGUAUAGGGGAGCCGCAGGGAAACCGAGUCUUAACUGGGCGUUAAGUUGCAGGGUAUAGACCCGAAACCCGGUGAUCUAGCCAUGGGCAGGUUGAAGGUUGGGUAACACUAACUGGAGGACCGAACCGACUAAUGUUGAAAAAUUAGCGGAUGACUUGUGGCUGGGGGUGAAAGGCCAAUCAAACCGGGAGAUAGCUGGUUCUCCCCGAAAGCUAUUUAGGUAGCGCCUCGUGAACUCAUCUUCGGGGGUAGAGCACUGUUUCGGCUAGGGGGUCAUCCCGACUUACCAACCCGAUGCAAACUACGAAUACCGAAGAAUGUUAUCACGGGAGACACACGGCGGGUGCUAACGUCCGUCGUGAAGAGGGAAACAACCCAGACCGCCAGCUAAGGUCCCAAAGUCAUGGUUAAGUGGGAAACGAUGUGGGAAGGCACAGACAGCCAGGAUGUUGGCUUAGAAGCAGCCAUCAUUUAAAGAAAGCGUAAUAGCUCACUGGUCGAGUCGGCCUGCGCGGAAGAUGUAACGGGGCUAAACCAUGCACCGAAGCUGCGGCAGCGACACGAUGUGUUGUUGGGUAGGGGAGCGUUCUGUAAGCCUGCGAAGGUGACCUGUGAGGGUUGCUGGAGGUAUCAGAAGUGCGAAUGCUGACAUAAGUAACGAUAAAGCGGGUGAAAAGCCCGCUCGCCGGAAGACCAAGGGUUCCUGUCCAACGUUAAUCGGGGCAGGGUGAGUCGACCCCUAAGGCGAGGCCGAAAGGCGUAGUCGAUGGGAAACAGGUUAAUAUUCCUGUACUUGGUGUUACUGCGAAGGGGGGACGGAGAAGGCUAUGUUAGCCGGGCGACGGUUGUCCCGGUUUAAGCAUGUAGGCUGAUUAUCCAGGCAAAUCCGGAUAAUCAAGGCUGAGGUGUGAUGACGAGGCACUACGGUGCUGAAGUAACAAAUGCCCUGCUUCCAGGAAAAGCCUCUAAGCAUCAGGUAACAUCAAAUCGUACCCCAAACCGACACAGGUGGUCAGGUAGAGAAUACCAAGGCGCUUGAGAGAACUCGGGUGAAGGAACUAGGCAAAAUGGUGCCGUAACUUCGGGAGAAGGCACGCUGGUGUGUAGGUGAAGUCCCUGCGGAUGGAGCUGAGACCAGUCGAAGAUACCAGCUGGCUGCAACUGUUUAUUAAAAACACAGCACUGUGCAAACACGAAAGUGGACGUAUACGGUGUGACGCCUGCCCGGUGCCGGAAGGUUAAUUGAUGGGGUUAUCCGUAAGGAGAAGCUCUUGAUCGAAGCCCCGGUAAACGGCGGCCGUAACUAUAACGGUCCUAAGGUAGCGAAAUUCCUUGUCGGGUAAGUUCCGACCUGCACGAAUGGCGUAAUGAUGGCCAGGCUGUCUCCACCCGAGACUCAGUGAAAUUGAACUCGCUGUGAAGAUGCAGUGUACCCGCGGCAAGACGGAAAGACCCCGUGAACCUUUACUAUAGCUUGACACUGAACAUUGAGCCUUGAUGUGUAGGAUAGGUGGGAGGCUUUGAAGCGUGGACGCCAGUCUGCGUGGAGCCAACCUUGAAAUACCACCCUUUAAUGUUUGAUGUUCUAACGUUGGCCCCUUAUCGGGGUUGCGGACAGUGUCUGGUGGGUAGUUUGACUGGGGCGGUCUCCUCCCAAAGCGUAACGGAGGAGCACGAAGGUUAGCUAAUCCUGGUCGGACAUCAGGAGGUUAGUGCAAUGGCAUAAGCUAGCUUGACUGCGAGCGUGACGGCGCGAGCAGGUGCGAAAGCAGGUCAUAGUGAUCCGGUGGUUCUGAAUGGAAGGGCCAUCGCUCAACGGAUAAAAGGUACUCCGGGGAUAACAGGCUGAUACCGCCCAAGAGUUCAUAUCGACGGCGGUGUUUGGCACCUCGAUGUCGGCUCAUCACAUCCUGGGGCUGAAGUAGGUCCCAAGGGUAUGGCUGUUCGCCAUUUAAAGUGGUACGCGAGCUGGGUUUAGAACGUCGUGAGACAGUUCGGUCCCUAUCUGCCGUGGGCGCUGGAGAAUUGAGGGGGGCUGCUCCUAGUACGAGAGGACCGGAGUGGACGCAUCACUGGUGUUCGGGUUGUCAUGCCAAUGGCACUGCCCGGUAGCUAAAUGCGGAAGAGAUAAGUGCUGAAAGCAUCUAAGCACGAAACUUGCCCCGAGAUGAGUUCUCCCUGAGACUUUAAGUCUCCUGAAGGAACGUUGAAGACGACGACGUUGAUAGGCCGGGUGUGUAAGCGCAGCGAUGCGUUGAGCUAACCGGUACUAAUGAACCGUGAGGCUUAACCUU